rnacentral:rRNA from 1 species
CACUCCUACGGGAGGCAGCAGUGGGGAAUAUUGGACAAUGGGCGCAAGCCUGAUCCAGCCAUGCCGCGUGAGUGAUGAAGGCCCUAGGGUUGUAAAGCUCUUUCACCGGUGAAGAUAAUGACGGUAACCGGAGAAGAAGCCCCGGCUAACUUCGUGCCAGCAGCCGCGGUAAUACGAAGGGGGCUAGCGUUGUUCGGAUUUACUGGGCGUAAAGCGCACGUAGGCGGACUAUUAAGUCAGGGGUGAAAUCCCGGGGCUCAACCCCGGAACUGCCUUUGAUACUGGUAGUCUUGAGUUCGAGAGAGGUGAGUGGAAUUCCGAGUGUAGAGGUGAAAUUCGUAGAUAUUCGGAGGAACACCAGUGGCGAAGGCGGCUCACUGGCUCGAUACUGACGCUGAGGUGCGAAAGCGUGGGGAGCAAACAGGAUUAGAAACCCCUGUAGUCCCAUGAU